UCUCCCAGUAUAUAACGACAAUAAUCAAUAUAGAAAUGGUGAACGCGAAAUCAUUCUUCAUUAUUUUACAAAAUGGAGAUUUUUUCUUAGUGUAGAUUUGUUGGCGAGCGAUAGCAGUAUAAUAUAAUAUUGACGUUUGCUAUUUUUGUGUUUUUCUCAAACCCUAAGGAUAUUUUGCUAGAUUUAAAGUGUAUAACAAUGGUGGAUUAAGCUAUAAAGCAAUUUCGAAUUAAAAGUGUAAUUAGAUUUUAUAGGGGAUUAGUGCAGACGGCGGAAAUUUAUUGACUAACAUUAUGAUAUAUACAUGUGGUAAUCAUUUAAAAGCGGAUUAAUUGAAAGCUUUUACCUCAGAUUUGAUUAAAAGACAGCUAUUGUGUCCGUAAACGCAACCAUUACAAAAAUAAAAGUUCAUGUUCAUUUCAGAAAGGAUACAACAUAAAACCAGGAAGGUAGCGUUGAUACUACCAACUCCAGGACACUCUUCGUCCAUUUAUGAUGAGAUCGCGUGCUGGUUAUGACAAUAAUGGAAAAUGGCUACACGUAUUUUUUGUCUUCAGUACUUGUUUACAAUCAGUAUUAAGUCAGUGUUCAGGGACCACAUUGGUUUUCACAGCAACAGAUACCUACCAGGUGUUCACAUCACUUAACUACCCGGCUGGAUACGCCAAUGACCAGGACUGUAUGUGGCGUAUUGAGGCCGACAAUAUCACUGAUGCUGUUAGGAUGGAAAUCACAGACGCCGCUAUCGAGUUUCAUGCUAGCUGUGUCUAUGAUUAUGGUCAAGUUUUUGACGGUAAAUUUUUUUUAAACAUAUGAAAUGUGUAGCUAUGUGGUUGCGUGUCAAACUUUCAGAGUGACACAAUACACGAACAUUUAGUUAUUUUUUACCUUUGAACGCACACAUAUUAUACAUAUCUUGACAAGAUAAGUGUACGAUAUAUACGACGUAAUUUCUGCCAUACAACGCACAUAAACCGAUUUUUAGCACGACUUUUCGACGAAUAUACAGAGAUAUUGAGCACAAUCAUUCGUCGGCGUCGGCUGUCCGAUUUUUAAAGUUUUUGUAUGACAUCUCGUA